rnacentral:rRNA from 1 species
UACGGAGGGUGCAAGCGUUUGUCCGGAAUCACUGGGCGUAAAGGGCGCGUAGGCGGCCCGGUAAGUAGGGGGUGAAAUCCUGCGGCUUAACCGCAGGGCUGCCUUCUAAACUGUCGGGCUCGAGCACGGUAGAGGCAGAUGGAAUUCCCGGUGUAGCGGUGGAAUGCGUAGAGAUCGGGAAGAACAUCAGUGGCGAAGGCGGUCUGCUGGGCCGUUGCUGGACGCUGAGGUGCGAAAGCGUGGGGAGCAAACAGGA